AUUGAAUAUGAAGGACUACUUUUGAGAUUAGUACAGGUAUAGAACAAAAGGGAAUUGGGAAGAGAUCAGUGUGGAGGAUUGUUUUUACAGUAGAGAUGUGCAUAACACAAUUUUUGGGAUUUGCGUAAUAUGUUAAGAAUAUGUAAAUGGCAAACAUUAAUUGAACAGUGGAUGUUCUGUCCAAUAUUUUCCUUGUUAUUGCUGCUAAAAAUGACCUCAUGGAUGUUGGGUUUGUGGGGACUGGUGACAGGAACUUCUGCGUUUUUUUUUUGUUUUGUUUUUUGUUUUUGUUACAGUUUCACUAUUCUGACUUAGAGAAAUGCAAGAUGCUCCUUCAAGAUCUUUACGGUAAGAGUAAUGUGGAGGGAAGAUGUUUGAGCUUUGCUUGUCGGUAAAAUGUUAAGAAAUUGCUGGGGGAUGUUUUGACUGUUAACUUUACAGAGAUGAUUCAGAUGACUAAAAGAUGCACAGGGCUACAAGAAGAACACGGUGCUUGGAUGCUUUGCCCAGUGUGCACUUGCUGUGAAGUCGUAAGACGCAUCUGCGGCAUGACUUGGUAUGUUAAAGACUUCUUUUAGAGGUGCUGUGUUAGUAUUAGAGUGUUGCAGGCCAGUUUAGAGUGACAUUUGUAUUGUGAAACUCUGCGUCUCAUCUGGUACGUUGCACUCUGAUGACUUGAUGAUAGUAUAUACUAAGAAGAAUUUAAAUGUUGUGUUCUGAAAUCUUUGCUGCUCUGGUGGCAAGUUGUUUCUUUUUGUUUUUCUUUUUUUUUUUUCUCUCUCUUUUUUUUUUUUUACAUUUCAGCUAGAGGACUUUGUGGCGAAAAACCAUAACAGUAGAAAGGGUAUUAAGACCAGCCAGACUAAUGAGAAGUAGUGUGUGUCUGCAGUGCGCAUGAGUUGAGAAAGCCAUUCCUUAUCUGAUGUGGCCUUGUUUACGUUGUGUGUCACAUGCCAAUUGAACAUUUCUUCAGAUGAGGGAGAUGGAGAAAAUCAUUCUGAACCAUAAUCAUUUUUAGUGUUUCUUUCCAGCCUUUCCCAGGGAGAGUCAAAAGGAAAGGCCCAGAGAAAAGUACACCAUCUAGUAAGAAUUCUUUGCCGACCACUUCAGCUAAGUUGCGGGUGCAGCAUUGAAUAUGAAGGACUACUUUUGAGAUUAGUACAGGUAUAGAACAAAAGGGAAUUGGGAAGAGAUCAGUGUGGAGGAUUGUUUUUACAGUAGAGAUGUGCAUAACACAAUUUUUGGGAUUUGCGUAAUAUGUUAAGAAUAUGUAAAUGGCAAACAUUAAUUGAACAGUGGAUGUUCUGUCCAAUAUUUUCCUUGUUAUUGCUGCUAAAAAUGACCUCAUGGAUGUUGGGUUUGUGGGGACUGGUGACAGGAACUUCUGCGUGUUUUUUUGUUUUGUUUUUUGUUUUUGUUACAGUUUCACUAUUCUGACUUAGAGAAAUGCAAGAUGCUCCUUCAAGAUCUUUACGGUAAGAGUAAUGUGGAGGGAAGAUGUUUGAGCUUUGCUUGUCGGUAAAAUGUUAAGAAAUUGCUGGGGGAUGUUUUGACUGUUAACUUUACAGAGAUGAUUCAGAUGACUAAAAGAUGCACAGGGCUACAAGAAGAACACGGUGCUUGGAUGCUUUGCCCAGUGUGCACUUGCUGUGAAGUCGUAAGACGCAUCUGCGGCAUGACUUGGUAUGUUAAAGACUUCUUUUAGAGGUGCUGUGUUAGUAUUAGAGUGUUGCAGGCCAGUUUAGAGUGACAUUUGUAUUGUGAAACUCUGCGUCUCAUCUGGUACGUUGCACUCUGAUGACUUGAUGAUAGUAUAUACUAAGAAGAAUUUAAAUGUUGUGUUCUGAAAUCUUUGCUGCUCUGGUGGCAAGUUGUUUCUUUUUGUUUUUCUUUUUUCUCUCUCUCUCUCUUUUUUUUUUUUUACAUUUCAGCUAGAGGACUUUGUGGCGAAAAACCAUAACAGUAGAAAGGGUAUUAAGACCAGCCAGACUAAUGAGAAGUAGUGUGUGUCUGCAGUGCGCAUGAGUUGAGAAAGCCAUUCCUUAUCUGAUGUGGCCUUGUUUACGUUGUGUGUCACAUGCCAAUUGAACAUUUCUUCAGAUGAGGGAGAUGGAGAAAAUCAUUCUGAACCAUAAUCGUAAGUUUCCUGCCUAAGAUUUCAUUGAUUUCUUUAAUGGGUAUGGUCAUAUUCAGAUAGGUUUU